UACAGAGGGGGCAAGCGUUAUUCGGAAUUAUUGGGCGUAAAGGGCGCGUAGGCGGCCUUGCAAGUGGCGGGUGAAAUCCCUCGGCUUAACCGAGGAACUGCCUGCCAGACUGCAAGGCUCGAGACCGGGAGAGGUGAGUGGAAUUCCCAGUGUAGCGGUGAAAUGCGUAGAUAUUGGGAGGAACACCAGUGGCGAAGGCGGCUCACUGGACCGGAACUGACGCUGAGGCGCGAAAGCCAGGGGAGCAAACGGG
rnacentral:rRNA from 1 species